rnacentral:rRNA from 1 species
CCUACGGGUGGCAGCAGUGAGGAAUAUUGGUCAAUGGGCGCGAGCCUGAACCAGCCAAGUCGCGUGAGGGAAGACGGCCCUACGGGUUGUAAACCUCUUUUGCCGGGGAGCAACGGGCGCCACGUGUGGCGCCACUGAGAGUACCCGGAGAAAAAGCAUCGGCUAACUCCGUGCCAGCAGCCGCGGUAAUACGGAGGAUGCGAGCGUUAUCCGGGUUUAUUGGGUUUAAAGGGUGCGUAGGCGGAGCGUUAAGUCAGUGGUCAAAUUGAGGGGCUCAACCCCUUCCCGCCAUUGAAACUGGCGGUGUUGAGUGGAAGAGGAGGAUGCGGAAUGCGGGGUGUAGCGGUGAAAUGCAUAGAUAUCACGCAGAACCCCGGUUGCGAAGGCCGCAUGGCGGCUUCCUACUGACGCUGAAGCAAGAAAGCGGGGGGAUCGAACCGGAUUAGAUACCCCAGUAGUC